GACUACAGGGGUAUCUAAUCCUGUUUGCUCCCCACGCUUUCGUGCCUCAGCGUCAGUUACAGUUUAGUGAGCUGCCUUCGCAAUCGGUGUUCUGUGUCAUAUCUAAGCAUUUCACCGCUACAUGACACAUUCCGCCCACCUCAAAUGUACUCAAGACCAUCAGUAUCAAUGGCAGUUCCCAAGUUAAGCUUGGGGCUUUCACCACUGACUUAAUAGUCCGCCUACGCACCCUUUAAACCCAAUAAAUCCGGAUAACGCUUGGGACCUUCGUAUUACCGCGGCUGCUGGCACGAAGUUAGCCGUCCCUUAUUCUUUUGGUACAAUCAGCCCCGGUAGAAACCAGGGGUUUUUUCCCAAACAAAAGCAGUUUACAGUGCAUAGCACUUUCAUCCUGCACGCGGCAUGGCUGGAUCAGGCUUGCGCCCAUUGUCCAAUAUUCCUUACUGCAGCCCCCCGUAGG
rnacentral:rRNA from 1 species